rnacentral:lncRNA from 1 species
UAUUAUUAUUGACCGUGUGUAGCGGGCCUUGAUUUUAUGGCGCACUACACACCAUACAAACUUAUUGUGCAAUUAUUGUUGACCGUGUGUAGCGUGCCUAAUGCUUGCAGCAGGCAGUUCGCAGCAGUCUCAUCUGUCUCGCUCGUAAACGAGCGAGACUCGUUGCUGGUUGCUGCUCGUUACGCGAGAGGUUUACGCGCGUGUGUGGCGUGCGUCGGUGCUUCGCUACAAAUUCUUUUUCGUUCCCUGCUGCUGCUGCUGCUGCUGCUGCUGCUGUGCAUGUUUUGUUUCGGUUCAUUUUUUAUUAUCAUUUAACCUUUAUACCGAAACGCGAGAAAGUGAGUGCUUCUACUAUCAAUCUCACCACCAAUCAUCCACGGCGUACACCACGCAGUCGUGUUUUUACAGCUUGUCUCUUUCGUCGUCGCUCUAACCGCGCGCGAGUACAUACCCACAGUGACAUUAACGCGAUAAAGGCUUACGAUUGUUACAAGUUUUUUUAGAAAAGAGUGAAUAAAUCGUGCGAUAACUUCCAAACUACGCAACGGUUACAACGUGUAUACACGCGCGAGAGUUCGUUGCCGCGUUCACAGCAGAUAACCUGACGCGAAUCUGUUCUGUCCCAUAGGAGUAUCAUGGAGAGCAUGCACCGUACGAGCUUGGGCUAUUUCGACUAUAAAUUCAUAUCCUGUCCGCGAAUUAAAUCUCACACUCUUCUUUUCGUCUCGCAUAUCUUGACCAGUCCCCCUACAAGACAUGCUUCGACAUAGUAACUUCUGUAUUUUGUCUGUUGGACGAAACUCUCAUCCACGAGUUCCAGUAGUGUGUCAAAUUCCAUCCCCGAUCUUGCUGAUCGACCAAGUUUUUCUUGCAUUCAAUUUUGCAGCGUAACAAAGUGUUUUCUUUCUAUCCAAGCUCCGUACAACUAUUAAUAUCACCACUAUUUUGCAAUCAACGUUUAUUGGAUUCAACCUGCGGACAAGCGACAAAGACCCGGACAACAUUUUUCCUAUCUGCGGCAAUAUAUCCAGAAUUGUUAUUGCAAAUGAAAACAAUGGCUAAAGCAAUUUUGUAUUCCUCACUUUUUCUUCCAACUCCCCAUACCCCUCCCCCCCCCCCCCUAAUAGCUUGUAUUUCUUUUCCACAUUUAUUCUUUUCCUGCAUCAAAAUCAUUCCUUCUUGAUUUCAGUUUCAAGAUAAAACAUGUAAACUUCCCAUUCUCUUCAAACAUUGCUCUGGUAUCGUAUCCAUAUUCGUCAAUCUAUAGAUUACUAUUCUAUUUUCAGAGCUCCGGACGGGUGGUCUAUGCUAUACGGCCGUAGGCUUGUUGCAUUGUCCAACAUUGAGAGUAGUAUCCCUGGCGUACUCUUGUCAUCCACCGCCGGAGACUUUGCAAAAUUGUAUACUUUUCUUAUCCGGCGACGGAGCAGGAUAAUGACAGCAAAGAAAACAGACCACGGAGCAGGGAAAGAAACAACUACGACGCAUUGUGAUCCAUAUUUUUUAUAACCAUUGACCCUGUUCAAACGUUUCUGUUUCCCAGUCGUCGAUAGAAUUAGAGGCAAGCGUCACAAAUUACACACAAAAUCAACUUUAUACCGACGCGAGAGAAAAAACUCGUUAUUUUAUUAUUGUACGACUGCGAUUGUGAAUAUAUGAAAAAAUUUAUGCCAACGAAAA